rnacentral:rRNA from 1 species
AAUCUUCGGCAAUGGACGCAAGUCUGACGGAGCACCGCCGCGUGAGCGAAGAAGGUUNNNGGAUCNUAAAGCUCUGUUGUGAGNGAGNAACAACUAAGGGAGUAACUGUCCUUAGCGUGACGGUACCUCACCAGAAAGCCACGGCUAACUACGUGCCCGUAGCCGUGGUAAUACGUAGGUGGUAAGCGUUGUCCGGAAUUAUUGGGCGUAAAGGGCACGCGGGCGGUCCUAUAAGUCUGAUGUGAAAUCUCGCGGCUUAACCGCGAGCGGUCAUUGGAAACUGUAGGGCUUGAGUACAGAAAAGGAGAGUGGAAUUCCACGUGUAGCGGUGAAAUGCGUAGAUAUGUGGAGGAACACCAGUGGCGAAGGCGGCUCUCUGGUCUGUGACUGACGCUGAGGUGCGAAAGCGUGGGUAGCAAACA